CAUUUGGUUGAAGAGGGUUUAGACUUUAGACUUAGAGUUUCGAGGGUUUUUGCUUUGCAGUUUGCUGUUGCACAGCGCGAAAAUGGAGUUCGAGAAGAGAAAAGCGGCGACGCUAGCUUCACUAGCAUCCUCAGACACCGACAAAUCACCGAAGGGCACGUUGGACACUCCCAUCCUCCCUCUCAUCAACACCCUCAACAACCAUCCCUGCUACUUCACCACCAGCUCCUGCUCCGGCCGUAUCUCUAUCCUCUCCCAACCCAUACACCAAACCCAACCCAACAAAAAAUCCAAAGGCGGCUCCUGGCUCUUCGUCUCCCACGACCCGGCCGAUCCCGACUCGGUCAUCUCCCUCCUCUUCCCCGACUCACCAACUCGCUCCCAAUCCCAACCCGAACCCGAGUCCGAACUCGUCCUCCGCUUCGAACCGCUCAUCGUCGCCGUGGAGUGCAAAGACCUCGCCUCGGCUCAGUCGCUGGUCUCCACGGCGAGGUCGGCCGGGUUCAGAGAAUCCGGCAUAACCAACGCGAACAACAAGCGCGUGAUCGUCGCGAUCCGCUGCUCGAUUCGGCUGGAGGUUCCGUUGGGGACCACCGAGUCCGUCAUGGUCUCGCCGGAGUUCGUUAGGUACCUCGUCCGCGUGGCCAACGAGAAAAUGGAAGCGAACAGAAUCAGAACCCAAGGCUUUCUCCGCGCACUGCAAAAUGCCGACGUGGCAGAACCGGAACCGGAGCCGGAAUCGGAAUCAGAAGCUCGCGGCGACGAUGAUGAUGAACAUUCCGGGGCAGAUUUGAGUGUGCUGCGUGUGGUUCCGAUAGUGGUUUCCGGUGAGGAGGCGGUGGAGAAGCUUUAUCUAUGGGGACACUCGGCGUGUAGUUUAGCUUCGGAGAAGAAAGUAUUGGUUUUUGGUGGAUUUGGAGGAAUGGGAAGGCAUGCGAGGAGGAAUGAGGCUUUGGUGCUUGAUCCAAAUUCUGGCACAUUGGAAGUGAUUGGUGGUGUAGAGGGGAGUGGGAGUCCGAGCCCGCGAUUAGGUCAUAGUUGUUGUUUGGUUGGAGAUUGCGCGUUUGUUAUCGGAGGCAGGGGGGAUCCUGUGAAUGUUCUUGGUGAUGUGUGGGUGCUCAAUAGAGCAAAGAGUGAAUGGAGAUUAGCAGAAUGUAGUGGCAGUGUUUUCCCUCCAAGGCAUAGGCAUGCAGCAGCUGCUGUAGGCUCAAAGAUAUAUGUAUUUGGUGGACUUGACAAUGACUCAAUCUCUUCAUCCUUUCAUAUCCUUGACACAGUUAACCUGCAAUGGGAAGAGUUAGAGGUUGGUGGGGAACAGCCAUGUGCCCGUCAUUCUCACUCUAUGGUGGCAUAUGGGUGUAAGCUAUUUAUGUUUGGAGGGUACGAUGGUGACAAAGCACUUGGAGACUUGUAUAGUUUUGAUGUUCAGGCAUGUCAAUGGAAGAAAGAAAAGACAGCGGGAAGAGGUCCACAUGCUAGGUUUUCCCACUCAAUGUUUGUGUACAAAGAUUAUCUUGGGGUUAUUGGCGGUUGUCCUGUCCGGCAACAUUGUCAAGAGUUAGCACUACUUGAUUUGCGGCUCCAAGUGUGGAAGCAUGUGACACUUGAUUCUGUUGGCAAAGAUUUGUUUGUACGAAGUACAGCUAAUGUCAUUGGCGAUGAUCUUGUUUUGAUUGGUGGUGGGGCAUCUUGUUAUGCAUUUGGAACAAAGUUUAGUGAGCCAAUGAAAAUCAACUUGUUACCUUUAAUGACUUCAAAUGAAAAUUUUAUGCCUUCUAAAAAUGGAGAUGUGCAUGGUACCCGCAGAAAUGAUGGGGUGACGGGGAAUAAGAACGAUAGCUUUCAACAUCCACGAAUUGAAAAUUUGCAAACUUUAAAAGAAAAUCUUGACUUAAAUUUCGAUAGUGAAUUACCUGGAAUGAAUGAAAGUCAGAUGAUUGCUUCGCAUUGGGUUCUACAACUUGAAAGGAAGUAUGCAAAAUUGGGGAAGGACAUACUGAAGAAGUUUGGGUGGUUAGAUCUUGAGAGGAAGGUUUAUUCUCGGGAGGACGGAAAACAUAUUUGUUUUCCUGUUACCAAAAAAUUUUGUGGUGUAUUUCAUGAAAGGCAGCAUCAUUUGUUUGAUGCAUCUGAAUUAGAUAAUGACCAUUUAUUGAAACCAUUUACAGGAAAGGGGCUUUUGUUAAACGAGAUCUCAAGUUUGGAAGCUUUGAAUCUUUUAAAAGAGUGUGGUGCAACUAAGCUGGUAGAUGAGGUAGUUGAAGUCAAAAGAGCUGCAAAGUCUCCCUUAAAAGUAAUGGGUGAAGCUGUGGCCUCGUUGAUAAAGAAUAGAGGCCUUUCAGAACAACUAUUAGAGGAACUACCCACAAGAUGGGAGCGACUUGGUGAUAUUGUUGUGCUUCCAGUCACAUCCUUCAAGGAUCCUGUAUGGGACUCAAUUGGGGCAGAGGUUUGGCCUGUUGUUGCCAAAUCACUUAAUACUAAUCGUCUUGCCCGCCAGGUGCGGAGGUUCAACCUGGAGGCUCAUUCUAGAACUUUUGCUGAAGUUGUACAAGGCUUUCAUGGAAGAACAGAGGAUAGAAAGAAGCCUAUGCAACCAGGAGUCUCAAUCAAGGGGAAGAUACCACAUAAAGGAGAGGAGAAGAUGGGGGAGAAUCUGAGAAUCACAGGUGCUAAAGUAAGGGAUUUUCCGGUGAAGUUAUCUAAUAAGAUGGAGGGGGUGGGAGGGGUUAGGAGGGAGAGCUGCAUUCUUGAGGAGGCAGAGGGUGGUGAGCAAACUUUGGCAGACCCUAGGAUCAGUGUCCCUAGCAGUAGUUUGAAUUCAAAAGUUUAUGACAAAAGGAAGAAGAGUGACGUUUGGAGUGCUGGCUGGUCAAGGAGAGGUCUUGUCGUGGAAGUUGAUGUGAUAGGAAGGAGGCGGGUUUUCUGGGAGAGAAAGAGAGGGGGUGGUACGAAGUGCAGAGUUGUUUCUCGAGCAGUUGGAAGGGAGAGUAUCAUGGAAGAUUCUAAUUCUCUUAAAUGGGUUCCUAAGAGCUUCAAACGGGCUGUUGUUAAGCCUUAUUUGGGCCUUGGAACAAGCCCAGAGCUGACUGACCUAGGAGUGGGUUUCCUUAAACCAGUGUUCUCUGGCCCAAGUACUUUUGAAGUGGGAGAGGGCUCGUUGGCUGGUGGUGGAGGCUCAGCCCAGGCCCCGUUGAAGGCUGUUCCUGAGAUUGGAGUUCCGGCCUGGCGCGCGAAGUAUUUGGUAGAUGGUUCCUCUCUCGCUGGUAGCUCUGGCGAGCUCGUCGUCGACUGUAGAUCUGGCGAGCCACCGUCGCCACCGGAGGCCGACGGUUCCUCUCUCGCCGGUAGCUCCGAUGAGCUCUCGUUGGAUCUGGGUAAGGCCGAUGGCCCUGGCGAUGCCGGAACCAGCUCCGACGAGCCGUCGUUCUCACCGGGAAAGUCUGACAAACUCUCCUCCGUUGGUACUAGCUCUGGUGAGCUCACGGUGUUUCCAGGUAAGGCAGAAAGGGCGAUUUCGAGGCCUUUGGUUGAGUGUUUCCUUUCUGGUUUGUUUCUGAGUUUUUUGAGGACUGGGCUUGUGGUUUUGGGGGAUCAAGAAGGGGAUGAUGGUGGCUUGGUCAGCCUCACGCCGAUUGCUGCCCUUGAACCUGAGCAUCCCAGGUUAGUGGAGUUACCCACAAAGACAUUGUGUGCUGUCCCUGGGGCGAGUGUUUUAGUGAAGGAAGAAUGGAAUCUUUCAGAUAAGGGUUUGGGUGGAGAGGAUAGCUUACCUGUCCCUCUGAUGUCUAUUACUCCCUCUGGGCUACACUUGUCAGCUGAACUGAAUUGUGGUAAUGAGGCAGUGGGGUGUGAAAAUAUAUUGGAUACUUCAAGAUGGGUGAAGAAUAGACUCCCUGGUUUCAGUAAACUGGUGGGGUUGCCUUUGAACCGUCAUGAGAAGCUAUGCAUCGCAUUGUUACAAAAGAUUGAGAAGGAGACGGAGACUGCUAAAGCGGUGAACAGGAAUGUUACUCUCUCUAGAAAAGCUGGUAUCUAUAAGGAUAAAGGGAAGAGAGAGCUGAGGAACCUGCAAUCUUCGGUUAAUUAUGACAGCAGGUAGUGUGUUGGCUGUUGAGCUAAUAUUCAGUUGGGAUAUUCUUGUAUUUAUGAAUUUAAAAAUUCUCUCUUUGAAUGUUAGGGGUCUGAAUGACCAUCAGAAACGUUCUAUUGUUAAAAAUUUACUGCGUGGUUGGAAGUGUGAUGUAAUUUGCCUUCAAGAAACUAAACUUACUGGCAUGGACAGACAGAUGGUGGGGAAUUUGUGGAGUUGCCCCUUUGUGGAUUGGGUGGCUUUGGACGCUGUCCAGACAGCCGGUGGGAUUCUGCUGAUGUGGGAUAGGAGGGUUUUAGAGAGGACGGAAGUUUUGGUGGGUUCUUUCUCUGUGUCUGUUCGGUGGCAAGGGGUGGGAGACGGUUUCAGUUGGGCUUGUUCGGGGGUUUAUGGCCCUAUUGAUAACAAUGCGAGGGGAUUAAUGUGGGAUGAGUUGGUUGGUGUUCAGCAAUACUGGAAUGUCCCUUGGUGUUGUAUUGGGGAUUUCAAUAUUGUCCGCUUCCCUAGUGAACGUUUGGGUAAUUUUCGUCUCACUCCGGCAAUGGAACUAUUUUCGGAAUUCGUCGAGGACCUUAAUUUGAUUGAUUUGCCCUUGGAGGGAAGGAGCUAUACAUGGUCUAGAGGGUCAGUUCGGCCUUCGAUGUCUAGGAUAGACAGAGUUUUGGUGUCUCAGGAUUGGGAGGAGCAUUAUCCGGACGUGAUCCAACGGAUUUUACCUCGCCUUGUUUUUGACCAUUUCCCUAUUUUAGUGGAGGUGGGGGGAAUGGCGAGGGGGAAAAGUCCGUUUAGGUUUGAGAAUAUGUGGCUCAAGACGGAAGGCUUUAUUGAUAGAGUUCAGUCUUAGUGGAAUCGUCAUUCUUUCUCUGGCACUCCUAGUUUUGUGUUUGCCAAAAAAUUGAAGGCCUUGAAAGAGGACAUCGUUCGGUGGAAUCGUUUGGAGUUUGGUCAUGUUGGUCGCAAAAAGUCUCAAUUAUUAGAGACUUUGAAUUCUCUAGAUGCCUAGGAAGGGGAGUUUGGUCUCUCUGAUGCAGAGUCUUGUGAGAGAGCGGUGGCGAGAUCUGAAGUUGAGAAUCUUCUCUCCUUGGAAGAAAUCUCUUGGAGAUAGAAAUCCAGGAUGUUAUGGAUUAAGGAAGGAGAUAACAACACUAAAUUCUUCCAUAGGAUGGCCAAUUCCCGGAGAAGGUUUAAUCACCUGAGUUUUUUGGAGGUGGAUGGGGUGAUCUAUGAGGAGGAAUCUGAGAUGGCUGCUCAGGUUGUACAUUUUUAUAAAAAUUUGUACCAGGAGUCAGAAGAGUGGAGGCCCUUUGUGGAAGGUCUGGAGUUUGAUCAGAUAGAUGGGUCGGAGAGGGGUUGGCUUGAAAGGAGGUUUGAGAAGGAGGAGAUUCUUCUAGCUCUUAAUGAGUUGGGGGGAGAUAAAGCUCCAGGUCCAGAUGGUUUCUUUAUGGCUUUUUUCCACCAUUGCUGGAGAGUGGUGGAAAGAGAUGUUCUAACAGUUUUUGAGGAGUUCUAUCAUCAUAGUAAGUUUGAGAAAUCUCUGAAUGCGACCUUUAUAGCUCUUAUUCCCAAGAAAAAUGAUGCUUCUAAUAUUCGAGACUUCAGGCCUAUCAGCUUGGUGGGGAGCUUGUACAAGAUUUUGUCGAAGGUUUUGGCAAAUAGGUUGAAACAGGUAUUAGAUCAACUGAUUUCUGAGUCUCAAAAUAGUUUUGUGGGAGGUAGACAGAUUCUUGACUCAGUUCUUAUUGCUAAUGAGUGUGUUGAUAGUCGUGUUAAGAGCAAGAUUCUGGGGGUUAUUUGUAAGCUUGACAUUGAGAAAGCUUAUGAUCAUGUGAAUUAGGAGGCUCUUCUAGAUCUUUUGAAGAGAAUGGGCUUUGGGGAAAAAUGGUGUAGAUGGAUUCGCACUUGUAUCUCUACUAUCCAGUUUUCUAUUUUGAUUAAUGGGGCGCCAGCUGAUUUUUUUGGGAGCACGAGGGGUUUAAGACAAGGGGACCCGCUAUCUCCAAUGCUGUUUUUGGUUAUGAUGGAGGUUUUAAGUAGGAUGUUGAAAAGAGUAGAAGGUGCUGGCUUGAUCAAGGGUUUCCAAGCUGUUGGUAGUCGGGGUGUAGGGGAAUGUGUCUCGCAUCUUCUGUUUGCGGACGAUACUAUUCUAUUCUGUGAUGCGGAUGUGGAGCAGAUCCUUCAUGUGCGGAUGCUUCUCCUUUGUUUCCAGGCUGUGACAGGUUUGAAGGUUAAUGUCUCGAAGAGCAAGCUGGUUCCUAUAAGGGAGGUUAAUAAUGUUCAUGCCUUGGCAGAGAUUCUGAGUUGUCGGAUUGGGUCUUUGCCUAUGACCUAUCUUGGUAUGCCGUUGGGGGCUUCCCAUAAGUCCCCUUCUAUUUGGAAUCCUAUCUUGGAGAAAUUUCAGAGGAAAUUGGCUGGGUGGAAGAAGUUGUAUUUAUCUAAAGGUGGUAGGUUGACGCUGCUUAAGAGUACGCUUUCUAGCCUUUCUACUUAUUAUUUAUCCCUUUUUACCAUUCCCUUGCAUGUGGCUAAUAAGAUUGAGAAGAUUCAGAGGGACUUCUUGUGGGGGGAUUCGAAGCUUCAUUUGGUGGGGUGGGAUAAGGUGUGUGCUCCUAAGGUUAAUGGUGGUUUGGGUAUAAGGAAGUUAACUACGUUUAAUAAAGCGUUACUAGGAAAAUGGCUAUGGCGGUUUGGGGUUGAGGUGACUCGUCUUUGGCGGAGGGUUAUAGCUUUGAAGUUUGGGGAAGAGUGGGGGGGUUGGUCGUCCAAAUUAGGCAGGGGUGUUCAUGGGUGUGGUUUAUGGAGAAGUAUCCGGAAAGGUUGGGAGGUGUUUAGCAAACACAUCCGAUUUGAGGUAGGGGCGGGGGAUAGGGUGAAGUUUUGGACGGAUCUAUGGUGUGGGGACUUACCUCUCCAUCUAUCCUUCCCGGUUGUGUAUGGGAUUGCUAUUAAUAAGGAGGCAUCUGUAGCCUCGUCUCUCAAGCGUCUGGGAACCGAGGCCCGGAGAAGUUGGAAGGUUCUCCUUCUUAGAAAUCCGAAUGAUUGGGAGUCGGGUGUUGUGGAUGAUUUCCUUCAUUCUCUGGGUUCUAAUUUACCUCCAUCUGAGCAAAGAGACCGUAUGAUUUGGAAACUGUCAAAGAAGGGGGUUUUUGAUGUUCGAUCGUUCUAUGAUAAGCUUCGAUGUCCCUUGCCUAUUCCUUGGAAAGGUGUUUGGAAGGUUAAGGCUCCUACGCACGUCUCCUUCUUUGUUUGGUCUGCAGCUUGGGAAAAGAUUCUUACAGGGGACAUUCUGCGGUGUAGAGGCUUUGAUUUUGUUGAUUGGUGCAUUUUGUGCCGCAGUAAUGGGGAGACGGCGAAUCACUUGCUUCUUCAUUGUGGAAAAGCUUUUCAGAUGUGGAGCCUGGUGUUUAGAUCUUUUGGGAUUUCUUGGGUCUUGUCAAGAUCAAUUGCAGAUACGCUUUUCGGCUGGUGGAACUGGCUCGGAAAGCACUCUUCUAGAGUUUGGAAUCUAGCUCCGUUGUGCCUAAUGUGGUGCAUUUGGAGGGAGCGAAACUGGCGUACUUUUGAGGACAGGGACAAAACUGAUGACCAACUGCUCGCUUACUUUAGUGGCUCUCUUUUUGAUUGGUCUAGGGCUUGGGGACUCACCUCUAGUAAUUCUAUCCCUAUGUUCCUUAGUUCUCUUCUUUGUAAUUAGUUCUUUGUUGGUUCCGCUUGUUUUCUUGUUUUCUCCUUUUCUUCUCCCUUUUUUGUUUCCUCCUCUGUACUCUCUGUUCUUCCUUUUGUUUUCUUGAGGUAUUUAAUAUAAUUUUCUUACUUAUCAAAAAAAAAAAUGUUAUGUUGCUCAUUGAUGACUACUUUUCUUCAUUUUGUUUCAGAAUACAUUCUUUGUGUUGAUUCUGUGAAAGUGUGUAGUCAAUUUUUUGGUUCAUUGAACCUCGGUUGUCAUUUUAAAGUAAAACUAAACUUAAUAUUUGAGGAUAUGGGCUUCUUUUAGGAUUGAAUUACAUGUGAUACAUACAUUGAAAGAUGAUAUAAAAGCACAUUGACUGUAACCAAAAUUUAAUUUUACUCUUCGAAUGAACAUAUUCUGUCCCAGAGUUCAGGCACAUCAUCAUCAAUUGAUUCAGAUAAUUUAUAUAGAUCCUUCCAACAUGGGAACAUUGUCAUGACAUGAUCCUAUUGUCUUUACUAUUAUUGUUAUUAUUAUUAUUAUUAUUAUUAUUGUUGUUGUUGUUGUUGUUGUUGUUGUUGUUGUUGUUGUUUCUAAAUUAUUCUCCAUAUUGUUUAUUAGUCAUAUUUUAAAACUAAUUAUGUAGUAUAUCCUGACCAACAGGCCACUAGCAAUGAUUGUCAUAUUUGUCUUUCCUGAAAGGUGUUGACAUUUUGUUUUCCUAGCAGGUGAUAUAUUAUAACACUAAUAGUUCAAACUGUAAGCUUUAAAACUACAUACCAUGUUCGAUCAGAAUGAGUUGCAGAAAUUCUCAUCUGAAUUUCACUAACUAGAAGGGCAGAGUUGCACCAACAGGAACAAGGGACAGUACUUUGGAGAUUCUAGUUGGAGAUAAUGGUUGGGUUGAUCAUCGCGAAAAUGGAAUUCUCUAUUCUUUUAAUGCUACUAAAUGUAUGUUCUCCU